GAUGAACGCUGGCGGCGUGCCUAAUACAUGCAAGUCGAGCGAACAGACGAGGAGCUUGCUCCUCUGACGUUAGCGGCGGACGGGUGAGUAACACGUGGAUAACCUACCUAUAAGACUGGGAUAACUUCGGGAAACCGGAGCUAAUACCGGAUAAUAUAUUGAACCGCAUGGUUCAAUAGUGAAAGACGGUUUUGCUGUCACUUAUAGAUGGAUCCGCGCCGCAUUAGCUAGUUGGUAAGGUAACGGCUUACCAAGGCAACGAUGCGUAGCCGACCUGAGAGGGUGAUCAGCCACACUGGAACUGAGACACGGUCCAGACUCCUACGGGAGGCAGCAGUAGGGAAUCUUCCGCAAUGGGCGAAAGCUUGACGGAGCAACGCCGCGUGAGUGAUGAAGGUCUUCGGAUCGUAAAACUCUGUUAUUAGGGAAGAAAAAAAGUGUAAGUAACUAUGCACGUCUUGACGGUACCUAAUCAGAAAGCCACGGCUAACUACGUG
rnacentral:rRNA from 1 species